rnacentral:rRNA from 1 species
GACGAACGCUGGCGGCGUGCCUAACACAUGCAAGUCAAAGGGAAGCAACUUCGGUUGUGAGUACUUGGCGCAAGGGUGAGUAAUGUAUAGGUAAUCUGCCCUUUGGACUGGAAUAACCCCGAGAAAUCGGGGACAAUACCAGAUGAUGCAGCGGAACCGCAUGGUUAUGUUGUUAAAGAUUUAUCGCCAAAGGAUGAACCUAUAUCCCAUCAGGUAGUUGGCAGGGUUAUAGCCUACCAAGCCUACGACGGGUAGCUGGUUUGAGAGGAUGAUCAGCCACAUUGGAACUGAGACACGGUCCAGACUCCCACGGGAGGCAGCAGUGAGGAAUAUUGCGCAAUGGGCGAAAGCCUGACGCAGCAACGCCGCGUGGAUGAUGAAGUUUUUCGGAAUGUAAAGUCCUUUUGUAGAGGAAGAAUAUGCCGGUUUACCGGCUUCGUG